rnacentral:rRNA from 1 species
AGAGUUUGAUCCUGGCUCAGAAUCAACGCUGGCGGCGCGCGUAACACAUGCAAGUCGAACGAGAAAGCAGGAGCAAUCUUGUGAGUAAAGUGGCGUACGGGUGAGUAACACGUGGAUCAUCUACCCUCUUGUGGGGGAUAACCCUGGGAAACCGGGGCUAAUACCGCAUAAGUCCGAGAGGAGAAAGCAGCAAUGCGCAGGAGGAGGAGUCCGCGGCCGAUUAGCUAGUUGGUAGGGUAAAAGCCUACCAAGGCUACGAUCGGUAGCCGGCCUGAGAGGGCACACGGCCACACUGGCACUGAAACACGGGCCAGACUCCUACGGGAGGCAGCAGUGGGGAAUCUUGCACAAUGGGGGCAACCCUGAUGCAGCGACGCCGCGUGAGCGAUGAAGCCCUUCGGGGUGUAAAGCUCUUUCGGCAGGGAAGAUUAUGACGGUACCUGCAGAAGCAGCUGCGGCUAACUACGUGCCAGCAGCCGCGGUAAUACGUAGGCAGCAAGCGUUGUUCGGAGUUACUGGGCGUAAAGGGUGUGUAGGCGGUUCUCUAAGUCUGGUGUGAAAUCUCCCGGCUCAACUGGGAGGGUGCGCCGAAAACUGGAGGGCUAGAGUGCGGGAUGGGAGAGUGGAAUUCCUGGUGUAGCGGUGAAAUGCGUAGAUAUCAGGAGGAACACCUGUGGUGUAGACGGCUCUCUGGACCGCAACUGACGCUGAAACACGAAAGCGUGGGUAGCAAACAGGAUUAGAUACCCUGGUAGUCCACGCCCUAAACGAUGCAUAUUUGGUGUGGGCCAUUCAUUUGGUCUGUGCCGGAGCUAACGCGUUAAAUAUGCCGCCUGGGGAGUACGGUCGCAAGGCUGAAACUCAAAGGAAUUGACGG